UUGAACGCUGGCGGAAUGCUUUACACAUGCAAGUCGAACGGCAGCACGGGGGCAACCCUGGUGGCGAGUGGCGAACGGGUGAGUAAUGUAUCGGAACGUACCCAGUCGUGGGGGAUAACUAUCCGAAAGGAUAGCUAAUACCGCAUACGUCCUGAGGGAGAAAGCGGGGGAUCGCAAGACCUCGCGCGAUUGGAGCGGCCGAUAUCGGAUUAGCUAGUUGGUGAGGUAAAGGCUCACCAAGGCGACGAUCCGUAGCUGGUCUGAGAGGACGACCAGCCACACUGGAACUGAGACACGGUCCAGACUCCUACGGGAGGCAGCAGUGGGGAAUUUUGGACAAUGGGCGCAAGCCUGAUCCAGCCAUACCGCGUGAGUGAAGAAGGCCUUCGGGUUGUAAAGCUCUUUCAGCCGGAAAGAAAUUGCUUCUAUUAAUACUAGGAGUAGAUGGCGGUACCGGAAGAAGAAGCACCGGCUAACUACGU
rnacentral:rRNA from 1 species